rnacentral:rRNA from 1 species
GACGAACGCUGGCGGCGCGCCUAACACAUGCAAGUCGAACGGAGCUUAGAGAGCUUGCUUUUUAAGCUUAGUGGCGAACGGGUGAGUAACGCGUGAGUAACCUGCCCUAGAGUGGGGGACGAACAGUUGGAAACGACUGCUAAUACCGCAUAAGCCCACGGUGCCGCAUGACACUGAGGGAAAGGAUUUAUUCGCUUUAGGAUGGACUCGCGUCCAAUUAGCUAGUUGGUGAGGUAAUGGCCCACCAAGGCGACGAUCGGUAGCCGGACUGAGAGGUUGAACGGCCACAUUGGGACUGAGACACGGCCCAGACUCCUACGGGAGGCAGCAGUGGGGAAGUAUUGCACAAUGGGGGGAAACCCGUGAUGCAGCGACGCCGCGUGAGUGAAGAAGUA